GUGCCAGCCGCCGCGGUAAUACGGAGGGUGCAAGCGUUAUCCGGAUUCACUGGGUUUAAAGGGUGCGUAGGAGGGCAGGUAAGUCAGUGGUGAAAUCCUAGGGCUUAACCCUAGAACUGCCGUUGAUACUCUCUGCCUUGAAUCCCGUGGAGGUGAGCGGAAUAUGUCAUGUAGCGGUGAAAUGCUUAGAUAUGACAUAGAACACCGAUUGCGAAGGCAGCUCACUACACGACGAUUGACUCUGAGGCACGAAAGCGUGGGGAUCAAACAGGAUUAGAAACCCUGGUAGUCC
rnacentral:rRNA from 1 species